UUGGCACUUAGACACCAACAUGAUCUCAGAUGGCUGACUAGAUCCCAGGCAUUCACGUGGCCCUUGGUGGUAAUAGGAGCCAUGGACAUCAACUGAGACCCUGACUGCUGUAGGGACGGACUCAGGCAUGGCAGUAGCUCAGUUUUCCCUAUGAAGGAAGAGUCACUGAAGCAGACAGAUGAGUGCAGAAGACUCUAAGCACUGAAGCAAAUUGGGUUGGUGGUCUAUGAAUUGAAGUGUUUGAAUGCAAGAAGAAAAUAUGACCGUGGUGAAUAAAAAUCAAGAAGAAAAAGAUAGCGGCAUAUUCACAUGACUAGUUUAGUAGAUUAGAUGCCACUGCCUUAAAUUAGAUAUGCAAAGAGGAUAACAAUGAGAACAAAAAGAGUUAAAAGCACCUUCCAGAGAUGUGGAUGGAAGCCUGAAACUGGGGUUGGGGAAAGAAAAGGACAAGACCCCGAUGAUACCAAGACUUCACACCUGGGCCUGUCUCUUAAAGGUUCUACCAUCUUUCAAUACUGUCUCCUGGGACUCUAACACAUGGAGAGAAACUAGAUCCAUACUGCAGCAAAUCCCAAUUGCAUAGUCUGAACUGUCUUUCGCCCAUCCACUAAUGGACACUGGUGGUUUUUCUCAGCCUGUUCAGGUUUGUACAGUGUGAUGUCAUUGAGAAGUACAGAAAGACUAUUGUAUCAAGACAGAGGCUGCCUCAAAAAGAGUCGUGGACGGGACAGAAGAAAUUGGAACGAUGCCUGAAAGACUGGAGGAAAUUUGGAAUGCUGUUUUUCAAGUCCCGUAGUAAUGAAAGUUUGGAAAAAUCCUUUGUAAAAUUAACCAUCACCUGAAAGACACACAUUUAGUUGGCCACAGAAGGUUCUCACGAAGGCUUGAACUAUACAAGGCCACCACUGUUCUGGGUCCUGACUCCUGACAGAAUUUACUUAAAAGGCAAAACACUGAUUUUACCAGGAGAUGCUUUGGCCGACUUCUCGCUUUUCUCCACCAUGGGAACACAAUGGAUGUCUACAAAUAUCUUUUGUUUAAAGGGAUGUAUACACUUAUGGAUAAUUAAUAAAAGACAUGGAGGUGGCCAAAUGCUCUACAAAGUGUAGAACCACUCAACAGAGACUUAGAGAUCUCAAAUGUCAACAGUGCUGAGUUGAAGAAAUGAUGUCUAUCCUCCUACUGAACAGCUGCAGCACACCCAAAGGUCAACUAAAGCCUUUUGAAAGCACUGGUGCUUCUCUGCUCUAAAAUGAAUGAUGCUCAUCAUUUAUAAAUAGCAUCAGAUGUAUCUAUGCAAGAGAGGAAAAUAUCUACUUUGGGUGUGCUCAGUAAGAAUUCAAGUGAAUGAGAAACUUUUUGAACCAAGGCACCUUUCAAAUUUCUCCUUCCUAUUCACAAAAUUAUCAGCUAAUUU